rnacentral:lncRNA from 1 species
UCUCCCCUCCCUGGAGUUUGCCUCCGAGUCUAACCCCUCACCUCCUGCGGGAGGAAUCCCCCAACACCAGAGAAAAAGCCCAGAUGCGACGCCCCAGGGCUGUGCACCCACCAGCCAUGCCCGCCCCUCCCUGUGUGGCUAAGAGGGGGCAGAUGGAGAGCCAGGGACGUGGAGGCUGCUCCAUUCUUCUCUGCCUGGAGUGGCACUCCACUCAGGCAGCUGGGGGAGGGGGACCUUGCAUCUCAGCCCUGGGGUCUGGGGGACACCCCUGUGCCCUGCUCCUUCCCCGGGCGUGAAGGGGACCCCUGCAUCUCAGCCCUGGGGUCUGGGGGACGCCUCUGCGUCCUGCUCCUUCCCCGGGCGUGAAGGGGACCCCUGCAUCUCAGCCCUGGGGUCUGGGGGAUGCCCCUGCGUCCUGCUCCUUCCCAGGGCUCAUUGCCCAUCUGUUUAGGCCAGAGUAUCAGAAUGUGGCUGUGGACUUCUUACAAUCAGAGAAAAGGAAAACCCCCCAGAUGUUUGAAAUACUUUUGUAGAACGGAGUUGGAAGGAACUGAUGCAGGCGCCCUGCUCGUGUCGGAUAGGGGCUGUGGUCAGGGCCACUGACCACCCCAAAACCCCCAAUCAAAGAGGUAAGGUGGCUUUGGCUCUGAGGGGUAGGGUCAGGUGUCCAGGUGGAGGGGCUCAAGGCGCUGGUGGAACCUGGGCCGAGACCCAGUCCAGAAAGGGGGUCCCUCAUUCAUGAAUACAGACUACCAACAUGGCCAACGUGGCUGCUCUAUCUGUUAAGACCCGGGUGCUCAGCCCGCAUGGGAAAAAUGU